GGGAUGAGCUUGCGUCCGAUUAGCUAGUUGGCGGGGCAACGGCCCACCAAGGCGACGAUCGGUAGCCGGCCUGAGAGGGUGAUCGGCCACAUUGGGACUGAGAUACGGCCCAGACUCUACGGGAGGCAGCAGUAGGGAAUAUUGCACAAUGGGGGAAACCCUGAUGCAGCAACGCCACGUGUGGGAAGAAGCAUUUCGGUGUGUAAACCACUGUCGUGAAGGAAUAAUGCCUGGUUUCGGCCAGGUUGAAUGUACUUUGAAAGGAAGCACCGGCAAACUUCGUGCCAGCAGCCGCGGUAAUACGAGGGGUGCAAGCGUUGUUCGGAAUCACUGGGCGUAAAGGGAGCGCAGGCGGAAGUGCAAGCGGUCUGUACAAUACCGGGGCCCAACCCCGGACCUGCAGACCGGACUGCAUUUCUUGGAUAGUUCAGGGGCAAGCGGAAUUCCUGGUGUAGCGGUGGAAUGCGUAGAGAUCAGGAAGAACACCGAUGGCGAAGGCAGCUUGCUGGGGACUUAUCGACGCUCAUGCUCGAAAGUGCGGGUAGCAAACAGGAUUAGAUACCCUGGUAGUCC
rnacentral:rRNA from 1 species